rnacentral:lncRNA from 1 species
AGACUCAGAGAGUUGGUUUUCGACUGGUACUACUACUCCAGUUACCAGCUUUCAUUUAAAUAAGAAGCAAAUUACAAGAACAUGCGUAAACCAAACUUCCUAUUCUACCGCUACUAACUACACGACCUAUGUCGUGGUUCAACUUAAACCAAAAUAGAACAACUAAUCAACGUGUGCUGCGGGAUUUAUGCUAACAAAUCACCCCCUAAUCCCGUUGCACCUCGAC